GUAGCAUAAUCAUUAGGGAUUUAAUUGGGACCUGGUAUGAAGGGUUGGACAAAGGAGAGACUGUCUUAGUGGUAAAGGUUGAAUUUUACUUUUAAGUGAAAAGGCUUAAAUAUUUCAGAGGGACGAUAAGACCCUAUAAAGCUUUAUAAAUAGUUUAAGUCUGAUUAAUUUAGAUUAUAAAGGUUAGGCUUAAUAGUUUUAUUUUAUUGGGGUGAUGUGAGUAUAAUUUAUGUUAGCUGCUUAAGAGUGAUUCUGUAUGAUUGGAGAAUAAAUAAAGUAAAUGAUCCUUUAUAAAGAUUAAAAGACUAAGUUACUUUAGGGAUAACAGCGUUAUUUCUUUUGAGAGUUCAUAUUGAAAAAGAAGAUUGCGACCUCGAUGUUGAAUUAAAAUGUCUAGAUAGUGCAGCCGCUAUAAAAGAAGGUCUGUUCGACCUUUAAAUUUUU
rnacentral:rRNA from 1 species